CGAAAUCGCCGCCGAAUUCUCCCACCACGACCCCACCGUCGCCCGAAUCAACAACGGCAGCUUCGGGUUCUGCCCUGACUCCGUCCUCCAGGCCCAGCGCCGCUGGUAGCUCAAGUACCUCUCCCAGCCCGAUCACUUCUACUUCAACCACCUCCAAGCCGGGCAUCAUCCACUCCCGCACCCUCAUCAAGGACCUCAUCAACGCCGACCACGUCGACGAGGUCUCCAACACAGUCAACGCCACCACCGCCACCGCCAUCGUCCUCCAGCAGGCCGCCUGGGGCUUCUCCGAGAGCAAGUUCAAGCAGGGACGUAGAGUAGUUGUACCAAAAAUGCCGCUUGGGGAAAGAGCAGGUGACAAAAGUGAGUCUCGCUACUGCGGCGUGGAGACGGAGUUCAGCGAUGACAUGCCCAACGUCCUCGCCUUCAAUCUCACCCAUGGCUCCUUCGACUUCGUCGUCGCUA
rnacentral:lncRNA from 1 species